AACAAGAUGGAAGCAGCCAGCACCAUUGAACUUUAAUAUUAACACCAGAGGGCGCACACAGACCUCCGCAGCAGCAGCCCUGUUAACCAACCCAGAGGAAGACACUUCUGCUAUUUGAAUACAGGACCAUUUUGAAUUCACAUUGAGGGCCACAGUAGCUGCAAACUACAAGGCAAGAGAACAAACUUAAAUUCUUAAAAUUAUGCUCA
rnacentral:lncRNA from 1 species